AUUGAACGCUAGCGGGAUGCUUUACACAUGCAAGUCGAACGGCAGCGCGGACUUCGGUCUGGCGGCGAGUGGCGAACGGGUGAGUAAUGUAUCGGAACGUGCCCAGCAGCGGGGGACAACUACGCGAAAGCGUAGCUAAUACCGCAUACGCCCUACGGGGGAAAGCAGGGGAUCGUAAGACCUUGCACUAUUUGAGCGGCCGAUAUCGGAUUAGCUAGUUGGUGAGGUAACGGCUCACCAAGGCGACGAUCCGUAGCUGGUUUGAGAGGACGACCAGCCACACUGGAACUGAGACACGGCCCAGACUCCUACGGGAGGCAGCAGUGGGGAAUUUUGGACAAUGGGGGCAACCCUGAUCCAGCCAUCCCGCGUGUGCGAUGAAGGCCUUCGGGUUGUAAAGCACUUUUGGCAGGAAAGAAACGUCGCGGGCUAAUACCCCGUGGAACUGACGGUACCUGCAGAAUAAGCACCGGCUAACUACGUG
rnacentral:rRNA from 1 species